rnacentral:rRNA from 1 species
UGGGGGAUAUUGCACAAUGGGCGAAAGCCUGAUGCAGCGACGCCGCGUGGGGGAUGAAGGCCUUCGGGUUGUAAACUUCUUUUGCGCUGAACAAGGCAUGCUAAUGGGUGUGUUGAGUGUAGGGGUUGAUUAGCGCCGGCUAACUACGUGCCAGCAGCCGCGGUAAUACGUAGGGCGCGAGCGUUGUCCGGAAUUAUUGGGCGUAAAGGGCGUGUAGGUGGCUGGUUGCGUCUGUCGUGAAAGCUCAUGGCUUAACUGUGGGUUUGCGGUGGGUACGGGCUGGCUUGAGUUCAGUAGGGGAGGCUGGAAUUCCUGGUGUAGCGGUGGAAUGCGCAGAUAUCAGGAGGAAUACCGGUGGCGAAGGCGGGUCUCUGGGCUGUUACUGACACUGAGGAGCGAAAGCAUGGGGAGCGAACAGG